UCUAAUCUUAUCUAAUCUAAUCAGACCCUAGCGCAGCCAAUCUUUCGAAGGGAUCCUGGAGAGUGCCUUAGGUUAGAUGACGCCUAGCACUCUUCUUGUCAUUUAUUAACAUUUGUAGUGCACCAUUGCAUCGGAAUGCACUGAAACAUCACAAGCGUUAAAGCGGCCAGGCCUACUGCGUAAAGCCGUAUCGCAGAGAUGACUCGUAAUUGGGUUGAGUUUGAGCACUGAGUGUUCGAACAACAACACAAUUCUGAAUCGACAGGGGGAGGAAGAAGCGUGGGGACACACCACCAUACGCUCCGAGAUUUUGGUUGUAUUCGUUGGAAGCACCAUGCUAAGAAGGUUUGGUACUCCGGGACCCUCUGGGAUGGGACAUUGUAUUUCCACGAAUGCCCUGGACACUAUUUGCCGUGGUUAUAGCGCCACAACUCGCUCUAGAAAGAAUUGUAAACGAACCGUCUAACAAAAACUCGUUGCAAUAAUGACAAACUUAUAAUACAUUUUUUAAGGGUUUUUAAAUUACUUUCGAAGAUAGAAGAGGUUCAAUAAAUUAUAGAUUUUAUCAGUAAAUAAUUUAAGCAGAAAUUGCAAAAAAUAUAAUUUGAAUUGGUAUUUCAAAGAACCUCCAAUAAGUUUUUAAGUUGGAUGAUUUGGUAACCCUUUCAUGAGAUAUCAGUACUAAAGUGAAAAUGAUGAAAUGGGUAAAGGUAAGAUGUUGUAGAAAUAUGAAAUUUGAAGAAAAAAGCAGUUGACAUAUUCCGGCGUUGCAAUAUCACAAUUUUUUUCGAGAUAUUUCUCUUAUGAUAUCAAAACUGUAGGGUUUAUGGGUUGCAGGAUUGAAUAUGUAAUAAAUUAUUAAAUGAGUAUUUAAUAUAAGAUUGAUAUAAUUCAUAAAUAACAGCUUAGAGCGCAACAAAAAGUGCGCACCUUCAUGAAUAUUGCCUUGUUAGCUGACAUAUUGCGUAUUGAGUGCGAGAGCGCGCUAGCGAGCUGUGAGAGAGAACAACGAGCGAGAAAACAACGAGAUGCGUGCGGCAGUUUUGUGGUUAAUUUGUGUGGAAUAAGACGUGUUAUUUGUUAAUUGCAAAAUAUCUAUGUUUUUAUUAUAAAAGAAAGUCCCCGAUCACGACAAAAACCUGUCCCAAACUUAAAUACUAUUACAGAAUCGGAUUAGAAACUGAAUUUUCUACAAGUAGUGACUAUGGAUAACUAAUUUUAAGUCAUACAAAUUAAUAAGUCAUGUUUAAGUUAUUUUAAACAUUUCUAAUUGUUAAUCCAGCUUUAACCUAUUAGCCAAAACGUGUCGUUUUUGUCGCUGGAGAAUGUGUCAUUCAUAUAUCUCAAUGAAACAGAACAGAAGAUAACAAAAAAACAGCAGAAAAUCACAAAAGUCAACAGAAAAAAAUAAAAGUCAACAGAAGACAACAAAAGUCAACAGAAGACAAAAAAAUACCACAGAACACUUUCAAAGAUAUCAGAUGUCAACAGAAAAAGAAAAAAGUCAACAGUUGACAGAAGACAACAAAACUCAACAGAAGACAACAGAAGUCAACGGAACUCAACAAAAGUCAACGGAAGACUACAAUAGACAUCAACAGAGAACAAAAGUCAACAGAAAACAACAAAAGUCAACAGAUGACAGAAAAAAAAACAAAAAGAGAACUUUGAAACAUUUCAGAUGUCAACAGAAGACUAAAAAAGGCAGAAAUCAACAGAAGACUACGAAAUAUAUCAGAAGUCAACAGAAGACAACAAAAGUAAACAGAAGACAAGACACCAAAAGACAAAAAAAAAAAUCAACAGAAGGCAAAAAAAUUACAGAAUAUUAAAAAAGACAUCAGAAGUCAACAAAAGCCAACAGAGUUAAAAAGCAAUUGAUUUAUGAUUCAUCUACGAAUGUUGUAAUUGUAAUUUCAUUGAAACUAUAUCCUGAUAAUUAACACUGUAUAUCAGGACAAGGAGGAAAUUUGCGGUUCUCUGCCACGCGGAACGAAAGCGAAAUUGACUUCAUUGAAAAAACGUUGAAAACCUGAUUCCCUCCUUCUUCGAUCACCCGGAGAAGGCCGGUUUUCAAAGUCUACUACGCUGGACCCAGGAGGUCAGACGGUGGAGGCCUGAAGAAAGGGCAUCCAAGUUACGUACGGACAACACGUUUUAUUUUUCGCUUGUUCCCCUCCUCGACCAGGGUUUUGCAGCUGACCGGGAGUUCCAACCAGGUCUUUUGUGCUCUCUAUUGCAACUUUCUGCUCGAAUCUCGAGUCAAAAGGCUUUAAUGUGGAAAGCAACCCAAUCCACCCCAGGAUUUGAACUGGCGAUUUUUGGAUUGCAAGUCCAACCUUCGAACAGCGACUCAACUGGAGCAGGCUUUGUUUGAUGUGUUGACGACUCCUACACCUGGAACUUAACGGUCUAUGUCAUUAACGGUCUAUCAGCCACUAAGGCCGGGACCGAGUUUUACCUCCCCAUCCGAUAGAAGACUGGAGAAGAUGGGAGUCAAACCCAUGAUCAUCCACCUACUAAGCGAACAGCGUAACCAUUCAGCCACGCCUGAUCCACUGAAUGAUCCACUGAAAAUAACACGAUCAAUACGAAAUGAUCCGAAAAUUAGGCUGGAAAACAAUAAAUUUUCUAAACAAAAUAAUAAUAAAAAUGGAACGGUUUUUUUUUUCAUUUGAAAGUUCCUUCGAAGACCUUUGGAUAAUCAAGUUAUUUUUAUGUUACUAAAAGAAUUUUAAAAUAUAGUGAGUCAUCAUGUAUACAAUGCUUGAUUAUAUCUAAUGA